CACGUAGGGUGCGAGCGUUGUCCGGAAUUACUGGGCGUAAAGGGCUCGUAGGCGGCCAACUAAGUCAGACGUGAAAUCCCCCGGCUUAACCGGGGAACUGCGUCUGAUACUGGAUGGCUCGAGUUUGGGAGAGGGAUGCGGAAUUCCAGGUGUAGCGGUGAAAUGCGUAGAUAUCUGGAGGAACACCGGUGGCGAAGGCGGCAUCCUGGACCAACACUGACGCUGAGGAGCGAAAGCCAGGGGAGCAAACGGG
rnacentral:rRNA from 1 species